rnacentral:rRNA from 1 species
CACCAGGUUGAUUCUGCCUGACGUGGACGCUUGCCUUAAGGAUUAAGCCAUGCAAGCCAGCGAAGAAUUUUCGGAGCGGCGAACGGCUCAGUAGGACAGGUCCAUCUGAUCACGAAGGAGGAUAACCACGGGAAGCUGUGGCUAAUACUAGAGGUGAGUGAGGACCUGGCCUAUCAGCUAGUCGGUACGGUAAGAGCGUACUGAGGCUGUUACGGGUAACGAGGAAUCGGGGUUCGAUUUGGAGAGGGAGCCUGAGAGAUGGCUGCCACGUCCAAGGACGGCAGCAGGCGCGAAACUUACCCACUUGGAGGACCAGAGGUAGUGACGGGGCGUGAUUGAUGAGAGCUUUGUAAAUACAAGUUCGAAAGCAACUGGAGGGCAAGUCUGGUGCCAGCAGCCGCGGUAAUUCCAGCUCCAGGAGCGUCUGUGUGUGUUGCUGCGGUUAAAGGGCGCGUAGUCUGAUUGAAGGCCAACGAUAAAGGUUCAGGUUUCGCCUGAGCAUGACGUUGGAACCGAAAUCUAGAGACCGGAGAGGGACAAUGGUUUUCAGCAGCGAGGGGUGGAAACCGAUAACCUGCUGAGGAGCGACAGAGGCGAAAGCGGUUGUCCAAGACGGGUUUGACGAUCAAGCGCGUGAGCAGGAGUAUUGAAGGCGAUUAGAGACCGUCGUAGUUCCUGCAGUAAACGAUGCCGACAGGAGUGUCAAUGAUGUUUGCUCUAAGGGAAACCGAGUGUAUGGGCUCCGGGGAUAGUACGGGCGCAAGCCGGAAACUUGAAGAAAUU